rnacentral:misc_RNA from 1 species
GAAAUGCGAUAAGUAAUGUGAAUUGCAGAAUUCAGUGAAUCAUCGAAUCUUUGAACGCACAUUGCGCCCUCUGGUAUUCCGGGGGGCAUGCCUGUUCGAGCGUCAUUUCAACCCUCAAGCUCUGCUUGGUAUUGGGCCCACGCCGGUCUCCCGGCGGGCCUCAAAAUCAGUGGCGGCACGACCUGGCUCCAAGCGUAGUAACUUCUCUCGCUCCGGAGACCCAGGGGUGGCUUGCCAGCAACUUCCAAUUUCUCCAGGUUGACCUCGGAUCAGGUAGGGAUACCCGCUGAACUUAA